rnacentral:lncRNA from 1 species
GCUGAGCACAUUUUAUCGAUGUUAUCAUUAUCAGUUUAUGCUAAUGGGAAAGGUGUUUAAUCUUUGUACGAAAUAAACACGAGGGUCACGUCUUUUUUUCUAACGCCGUAGACAGAGAAUAUUAUCUAUAUAUUCCUUAACUUUGGCCUUUGGAGGGAGAGUUUAAUUAUCAGUUAAAGAUUACAGAUACCCAAGUUUCAUACAUAUAAUAUUAACGGCCAAACCCGACUUCAGGAUCAACUAGUUUUGCGUAGGCCAAACUAGUAGUUUCGUAGAUAAACCGGUAUCUCCUAGCCUAAACUUCGUCCUAAGCCUGAUGGCAUAAAUCAGUUUAGCCUAGGCUUACUAAUUUAUCCUGAUAGAAAUACACACUCUUAGGAUAAAAUAAGUACGUCCUAGUCUGAAUAUUAUGUAGUUACACAUUUAAUAUAUCUACCUAUCUCUAAUAUUCUAAAUUAAAGACUAAAAAAAUUAUUAUUAAAAUUUUGACUCCUACGAAGGGUUCCUAUCACGCCAUUCCAUUCCCAUUUAUACUUAAGGUAUGUUUUAAUUCGGUCUAUUUCGGUAAGUUUAAGUUUCUUUCUUGUAUGAAGAGAAUAGAAUUCUUGAAUGUAAGCAAAAUUUACAGAAUGAGAAGUAAACUUUUCACUUGUGACUUUUCCCAAGAUGUAAAAACAAUAACACGACAGAAACAAUUACCUCAUAUAUGUUGCAGGGUAGGUGAGGUAAGAGGAGUAAAAUUGACACAAAAAAGAACGAUCUGAAUAGGAUCCCUCCGUAUUUUUCCCAUGGAGAGUAGAGUAGGCGAUGGGCUAGCUGAACGUGGCGUUUUAGUAUUUUCAAGACUUUUGGCUCAUUCUACCCCGCAAGGGUCGGUCGUGAUUAUAUGUAUGUGCAUAAAGUAUGUAAAAACCUAAAUUGUUAAUUAAGGUGAUUAUUUGUAAGCAUAAUUUUUUUUAAAUAUAACAUUUUUAUAAAUUUUAUGCUCACGACAUGUUUUGAACCAAGAGAGAUGAGAGCCUUGUCAAAAACAGUCCCCCAAAGAAUGCCCAAAGAUAAUAAUAAUAUUUCGAUAUUAUCUCUGUUGUGAUCAUACGUAACUCUACUCUUUUUAUGCUAGUUUUUAUUAUAAUUUAAAGACUAUAAGAAUGACCACAGUUUCUCAAAAUGGGACCAUAGAUAGUUUUUAUGUUAAAAUAUUAAUUAACUCGUUAUAUUAUAAUUUUCAACACCGAGAUAUAUAGGAUACGCCUAGGUAUAUAGUAGUUGUGUAAAAGUUUCAUGAUUUACUUUAAAUGGUUAAAUAAAUUAGUAUCUACUUAAGUAUUAUACAAUUUGUUCUAAGUAAGUAUACCUACUCCUGACACGGUUGGUAAACCAUGAUCUUUUAAUGUUUUAGUAAACGACUAAAAGCUUUUCUGGUUUUAAUAUGUCAGUGUAAGGUUAUCCCAAUAUCUUCGCUUUGCUUUUAUUGCGUGAUAUCUAAAGGCGUAUCCACACAUGCCUGGCAAUAAUCCCCGCGGCAUGUGUGAAUGCGCCACAAGACACAAAAAAGCAGGUUUGGGAAGCGACCACCGUUUGACAUGAGUUCUCAGCGUACGGUCGGCAGCAGAUAAAACUAACCACCUCUACUUCUUCUUUUAAAUAAAAAGAGUGCGCAUGCGUUUAUCUCUUCCCCUUCCCGUGGAAAUUUUUAAAUAACCUUUCUUAACUGACGUCUCCUAAUUACAAUAUAUCUUCCUGCCUUAAUAUUAAAUGACUCAGUUUUUGACAUUUCAUAAUCAGUAAGUGGAUGAAUGAGUGUAUUUCGCUUUUUAUUUAUAAAGAUCUAGAAAAGUGAUGAGUUUCAUCUGCCCUCGACUGUACGUAUAUGUAGCCCUAGUGAUAAUAAUGUAUGUCCCUCAACAAAAACUAAAGGAAAUACCAGACAGCAUGUAAACACAAGAUUUUCCUGUUUUGUGAAUCUUGGUAUAUAAUAAACGCCGGUAUAUUUUGCAUAUUAGUAGCAUUUUGAAACCGGCAAAGGCUUCUUGUUUGAAAAUGAAGAUUUUACAUGCCCUUACAUGCCUUCUGAUGGUGGUGGGAUGCCUAUCUACUGCUCGGAGGCACUGCGCAGGCGCAGCUCAUCUGCACGGCUGACUACACACCCGUUUGCGCUACAAACGGACAGACAUACAGCAACAUGUGCAGGCUGAGGGGCAGCGGCGCUAAAUUAGCGCACAACGGCGCUUGUAAAAAUGGAUAACAACAGCGUGCGGAUUACAUACACCAUGUUGACAUCGGCAGACCGGCGAUAAUAUGAUUAUGAAGCAUUUAAUGAUUACGACAAUUAUAUCAUAAUGGAUUAUUAAAUUACUUCUUGAUAAUAAUUUAAAAUAAUAAAUACUGAAGAGUUAAACAAUUUAUC